CAAUAAUUUCAAGCUUUUCGUCACUUGACCUCACUUUUUUGGUGCUUCAAUCACAAAGGAGAAGAGAAGUAUUUUUUUUCCAGUAAAAGAUCAACCACUAUUAUCAUUACUUGACAAAUAGUGUUGAUUUGUGACAAAAUUUAACAUCGGAAGCACAAGGUAGACUGGUGGUAGUGAUGGUGGCUCUACCCCUACUUCUUCCAUUGAGGUUUUGAGAGAGUAUGAGUCGCUAGGGGUACUCCGGUAAAAUUC